GUUAGAUGCAGAUAGCUCAUAGCCUAGUCCUUCUUUGGAAAUUGUCAUGGAACAGAGGUGCUGCCUUACCCUCUUCCCUUAAUUUGGGUCUAUGCCAAAGUGUCAUACUAUUACUAGGGACACUGUAGGGUCAACCAAGACCUCUGUUGUAAUUAUAGCACUUCAACAUCCCCCUCUGCCCAAUCAUCUGGAAUCCCUCACUUUUGAUAGAUGUUAGGUAUUGUUUCCGAGAACACUGAUCAUUAAAUCUCCUACACACAGAUUUCUCUUUCAUAAUAAUCCCAUGACUAAUGUAAGUUAACAUACAAAAUUCCAACCUGUCUUCAGCUCUGAUUUUUUUCCUUAAGACAUGUUAAUAAAUACCUACAAUUCAGUUUCACUUUUCUGUCCUGCAAGAAUCUCAAAACUAAGUGACCCCAAACUAAUUGCUAUAUCUUCCCUACCCCAUAAAUUUUAUCUUCUUUCUGCAUAUUUUAAGAGUAUCAAUAUCCAUUCAGUCUUCUAAGUCAAAAUAUUUUGUAUGGAUUGUAUCCUCUCUAAAAGAUACAUUAAAAUUCUAAUUCUGCUACCUUUGAAUGUGAUCUUAUUUGGAAAUAGGGUCUUUGCAUAUAUAAUCAAGUGAAGUUGAGGUCAUUAGUGUGGGUUCUAAUCCAAUAUAACUGGUGUCUAUAAGAAGAGGAGAAGACAGAGACACUGAGGGGAAAUAACACAUCUAGAGGGGGACAGAAAUUGUGGUGAUGCAGCUGAAAGCUGAAAGGAUUAUCAGAAACCACCAGAAACCAGGAAGCUCAAAGAAAUCAGAAGAUUCUUCCCUGGAAUCUUGGGAAAGAGUGUGGCCCUGGUGAACCAUUGAUUUCAGACUUUCAUCCACCAAAACUUCCAGACAAAAAUGCCUGUUGUUUUAGUCAUCAAGUUUGUUUCCUAAGCACUAAGACACUAAUACAUUGUUCAAACAGUUCAUGACCUUAUAUCCAGUCCCUGGGCUCUUACAUUUUAACUUAUAAGUUAAGAUAGAUUUGUAUUGCAGCUAAGUGAGAGCAGGACAUUUUCCCUUUGGAAAUCAACACAGUGCUUGGAGCAUAGCAAGUUGCAAUAAAGAUUUAUUGAAUGAAUGGAUACAUUUCAUGCUUCACUUGAGGUCCAUAAUGAGGAAACAUUCCAUUGCCGAUGAUAAGAUCUGCUCAGUGUGUUAAUGUUUGCGUUUUGCCUUAAGGGCUGCCCUGCUCCUCAGUAGGAGGCUGACUGAGAGAAGCUGUCAAUUCAGUGCUGACAUUCUAAGAAGCAGCGACAGGAGACUUAGUCUCAUGGAUAUACUCCAGAUGACCAUAUGCCUUCUUGAUUCAAAGAGACUGUUCUGAUAAAUGUGGAUGUUCUGCUGCCACCUGUUUUCUCAGAAAUGUUUAAAUGAACCUUUCAAUUGAACUUAUUUCUUGGUCUUUAAAGAGUCAAAUGCGAAAAACAUAACAGCACCUGAAUAAUCAAAAGGAUAUAUCAGGAACAUGAACCCAAGUCAGGGAAGAAGAGAGCAGUGGAGGAGAGGGCAGAAUCCUCACUACUCACUCCAUACACCAGAGAACUGAGAACUCUGGAGAGCAGUGUAAGCCAUACCCAUGAAGAAUUACAGUGGGGAGCACAAAAUGAUCCCUCAGCAUCAAGAAGGAAGCCAACAGAAACCUGCCAUUGAUGUCCCAAGAACUCACCUUUUUGUCUGCAUAGUAUGGAUCCAGGUCCUCCAGGGGCUCUGACACCAUGCCAGGCGGAAUGUCUCCAUAAAUGAAGGGCAGCUGCUUGCCGGCUUCCAAGUCACUGCUUGGCUUUGGGCCAUCCUCCUCCUCAUCUUUCUUUUCUUCUUUGGGUUCCUUUGCUUUUUCUUCAGCAAUGCGUUGUUCAAUGAGGGCAAGGGACUGUUUUGUGAAGUGGACAAAGCUCUGAGGUCCUGGGGGUGGCAACGUUGCCAUCUUUUCAUCCUGUAUAUUUUAUUUCCCCUUCAGCUCCUUACAUAAGAGGCCUGGGUAAAAAGGAAGAAAUACCGACUUUGAUGUUUUGCUGCCUGGUAUCUUUUCCACAGUACAGACUUCCAGGUUUCAAGACAUUCCCAUGCAAGUACACUUCAUCCCUUCCUCAUUCUGCAGACAGCUCGGGUUCCUGUCACAGAUGCUGAGCAAGCAUAUUUACAGAAGAAGAAAUCAGCAGGUUGUCGCUCUGUCUUCUGCUUUUUGUUUUUUGGUUGUGUUUGCCCAGGAUUUCAGCCCACUCUGGUUCACCCCCAAUCCCAAACCCCGGCACCUAGUCACACUGUUUUUCUCUUGGAAGGGGAGAGCAUCCUCCUUUAACUGGGAUUCUUUGAAAACAAAGAUGAUUCUGAUUAAUUCAGCGAAAGUAAUUAAAUCUGCAGUAACCUGGAGCCAAAAAUUCAUGCUCAAAUAAUUGGUUUUUUCCUUUGAAAACUGGAAACUUGAGGAAAGCUGCUCAGGGUUUGGGUGUUCACCAGAAAAGGCUUCUCAAACCACCUGAUUUCUUUUUUUUUUUUUUUAAUUUUUUUUUUAUUGGUUGUUCAAAACAUUAUAAAGCUCUUGACAUAUCAUAUUUCAUACAUUAGAUUCAAGUUGGUUAUGAACUCCCAAUUUUACCCCAAAUACAGAUUGCAGAAUCACAUCGGUUAUACAUCCACAUUUUUACAUAAUGCCCUAUUAGUAACUGUUGUAUUCUGCUACCUUUCCUAUCCUCUACCAUCCCCCCUCCCUCCCCUCCCAUCUUCUCUCUCUACCCCAUCCACUGUAAUUCAUAUCUCUCCUUGUUUAUUUUCCCAUUCCCCUCAAACCACCUGAUUUCUAACAAUUCUGACUUCUUCUCCCUGCCCUAUCUUCCACUUUGUAGAGGACCAGCACUAAAAACUAAUAGGUAGAAAUGAUGAUAUGUGUGUAUGUACAUGCACUUUUAAGAUAUUUUCAACUCUCCCCAUACAUUCUUGAAAAAUGAUGAAAUAGUUUUAAAAAAUAACUCUUGAGUUUAGCUUUGUGUCACUACUAUUGCUAUGUCAGAUGUUUUGGCAGGAAAAAUUGGUAUCAGGCUAUCUUAAUACUUAGAAUUAGGUUUUGAAGUUGAUAACCAAUAUUUAAUAUAUUUGGAUUAUUUUUUUCCUGUGACUACUAUGGUUAGAGAAAACAAAAUGGUGUUUCAUUUCUCUAACUUCAUGGCAAUUCUGAGUAUAGUCAGCAUGGGAUGAAAUUUAAAAAAAAAAAAAUCUCUCCAGAAAAAAAGAAAGGAAGAAAUUAAUUAAUUAAUUAAUUAGCAGGUUGUAGCUAUUAGCAGAGAUAUAAAGAAACAUCUUAGGAAAGAGUUGCCACUUUAUUACCAGAAACCUGUGUAUCUUAAAAAGCGAUGGUAAACCUCUUUAAAAAUAAGACAGAAAAUUUUGAACAUGAUUUAAAAAAUUUAUAGAGAAACUUUUGCUUUUCUGAAAACUGUUGUUUUUAUGAUCUAUAACAUGAUUGACAUUUCAUGGUCUAUAUCAUCACAUUUCCAUCUUUAAUCCAUCUUUAUUUUUAUUAAAUAUUUUUACCAAAUAUAUUAUCUGAGUGUGUUACUAUUCAGAUAUUUUUGAACUAUGAAAACAAGGAAAAAACAGUUGUCCUCAAGGAAUUUCCAUUAUAAAAAGGGACAACGAUCUCACAAAUUCAUACAGCAAAGACAACUCUGAUUUCAGUGUGGUAAAGGAGAAUGCUGUUAGCACAGACGUCUUGUUUCUUCUGGUAUAGAAAGAGAGACACAGAAAUAUGCAAAUGUCAGGGGAAAUGUCAUAGGUAAUUAGAGGUGGUGAGUCCCUUUGGUUAUAACACAAGAUUUCAUACAGUUCUGAUAGAAAUUCCUGAAGUCAUUUCAUUUUCCCUAUUCACUUAUAAAAAAUAGAGAACUAUAAGCCUUUGACAGUAGGUAGACAUAUAGCAAGUUUUCCCAGGAAAGAAUAUAUUGAAAGUGAUGUAAAAAAUUAAUCAAUUAAUUAAUUAAUUAAUAAAAAACCAAAGUGAUGUAAUGUAAAGUUUGGUCAUACACAUCUCUUCUUAUGAACCCAAAAUUAUGGAAUUUUAUAGUUAUGAACAAAGAAGAAUAAAGCCAUCUAUUUUGAUGGGUACAAGCAGCUAAUAAUAUUUAGUUUGUGAAAACAAGAGUAGAAUAUGGCUGAUCUUCUGAGAAUAGAAUUUGGUUAGUUAACUUAGUUAACUAAUUUUGUAGUUACUCAUUUGCCCCUGGUUUUGAAUUGUUUUACUAACAUUAUUUGCCCUACUAUUUCUAUGUUUUAAUACCCGUAAGAAGAGAUGUAUAUGUGGUUGGAAACUAAAUUUAAAAUAACUUUUAAGAAGAAUGUAAUGAGAGCUAAAGGAUGUGGCGGAGGUAGAGCACUCAUCAGUAUAUACAAGGCCCUGGGUUGGAUCCUUAGUACCAAAAAAAUCAAUCAAUUCACCAAAUAAAAAGAAUGCAGUGAACAAUAAGGGUCUUUGGAUGUGCAUAUUUUAAAUAGGAUGGUGUUAAUGGGUAUGGGGUUUCUUUUUGGGGUGAUAAAAUUAGGUAACUAACUUUGUGAAUAUACUAAAAACUCUUGAAUCAUAUACUUAAACAUGGUGAUUUUUGUGUUACGUCCCUCAAUUACACCUGGAUAAAACUGUUACAAAAACAUACUUAAAAAUUGAUUCAUAAAUUUUUGAAAAUUGUCCUGAAAUGAGGGAGGGGUUUAAUAAGAUAGAGACAAACUAAUACAACCACCCAUGGGAUCUCCAUGGGCUAAGUAUAAACUUGGGAAUCCUUUGGGCUUAAAACUAAUCAGGGACUUAAAGUUUCUACCACUUAAAGCUCAAGCUUGGCAGUUUAUAAAACUUUGAUCACAAAUCAGGUGGCUUGAUUUCAGAGGUCAAUGACCUGUUUGAAUUUACACUAGAUCAGUCUGAGAAGUAAGGCAGUGAAUUCAGGGAGAGCAGUUGCCACUUGCAUUUUUGAGAUUCCUCAGUAGUUCUGGAAGUCAAAGAUGAGGAGGAUAAAGUCACUAGCCUCCAUAGCCUUUCAGCAAAGAAAGACCUGUGGUCUUGGAGAAAAAAAAUGGUUUGAAUAACUGGUGUUUUUGAAUAUUCUGCUAUCAAGUGAGAGAGUGUCAUCGGUUUCAAGAAUUAUUGGGGGUACUAGGAUUGAACUCAGGAGCACUCAACCACUGAGCUACAUCCCCAGCCCAUUUUUGUUUUUGUUUUUUAAUUUGGAGACAGGUCUCAGUGGCUUAACACAUUGCUGUAGCUGAAACUAUCUUUGAACUUGUGAUCCUCCUGCCUCAGCCUCCCAUGACACUGUGAUUACAGGCAUUCGCCAUCGUGCUGUGGUCAAGAAUUAUUUGACAGAAAUUUAGAACACAGCUCAUGAAUAGCUAAGCACACAUAGACAGUGGAUUGGGACAUGGAAAAGUGAAGGAAGAGACGAAAUAUCUACUAACAUCAUGGCUAAAAGGUAAGUGGAGGAGACAUUGAUCAGAUUCCUGCAGCAGAAGCAUCAGUAGCAGCAUCUAUUCGGACACCUGAAACUUAUUUCCAUUUUACUAAUAUAGUGGCUUUUAAGAGAAGCAGCUCUAGAUGGCAUCUGAGUUUCAUUGGAAACAAUAGUACAACAAGUCUGGGUGACAGGGUUCUCAUGGACCACAUAACUAAAAAUGUAAUCGUGUGCAAUUCCAAUGCACCCAGAGAAGAGGUCAAUGAUGAAGAAUAACCUACCCACGACUAAAGCUUUUGUUCUCCUUCCUUAGUCGGUUGGAUGACUAAACAGCCCACAGGUAUUUUGCAGUCAUGCAUCCAGUUUAAGAUUUGAGAUUUCUAGGUAGAGUACAUAUUUAAGGGGGCAAAUGAAGCUCAAAAAUUAUAGUAAAAUUGAAGAUGAACACUAACAUAGUGUAAAAGUAGAGACACCCUUUAAAAUAUUACCAAAGACACAAUCUUUAGAGAAAAGGAAUGCUAGAUUUUCAUCACAAUGAUUUUUUUUAAUGGAAGGCAUCUACAUAACAGUAAGAAAAUACAAUGCAAAUAAUAGAGGGAAAUCUUUUUAUUUAAUUUGUAAAAAGAGAUUUCAAUGUUAAAGCUAGCAAGAACAUGAAUAAUUAUAAAAAUACAAAUCAUUAAAAAACACUGAAACGUGUCAAACUUCACAGGUAAUCAAAGAAACAAAAACUAAAAUAAACAUGGGAAAACAAAUUUAGCUUAUUAAAUGAACAAAGAUUUUAAAAUUGAUGGCCAUAUUAGAGAGGCUGUGGGGGGAAAGCACUGGCUUUUGCCUAAGAACACAUACUGUGUACUACUGUUUUGAAGGUAAUUUUGAAAUAUCUACUGAAAGUCUUAAAUAUGUUGAUUUAUUUUCUUUGCUAAACAAUUUUCCUUCAAAGAAUUUAUCCAAAGCAAUAACCUCAAGUGUCUUCCAGGAUUUAUGAUGAUUACUUUUAAUUUAACAAAGUCAAUCAGUAUUUAUUCUUAUCAUGUUUAAAUUAGAUUUUUGAAAAAAAAAUUACCAUAUUUCCAGUACAUGUUCAUUUUACUAUGAUCAUAUUUUUGUUAGAACAAGGUCACAAUUUUGUCCACCAAGAGUCUACUUUGUGUUUUCAUGAUUGUUUUACCCACUCACCUUUAAUCUCAUAUUAGUGAUACUUAGGCAACUACUGAAAAUAAAAAGUGAAUGUGUUAUCCUGAUAUAUAGGACUUCCUGCGGUUAAAAUAUUUAUCAAAAUAUUUAUUAUGGACUUUUUUCUUAUUAUAUAGCUGGUAUGUUUGCAUGUGAUUUUCUCUGUAUCUGUUUGUCUAUUUAAUAAUCAUCCACCCGUUAUCUACAGAUUUUCUUCUAUCUUUCUAGUCAAAGGCUUCCAGUUCAUGAUAGGUAUCUAGUUCAUGACAAUGGUCUGAGUCCAUGUGUUUAUCGUCCCCAUCUUCCAUAUCCUCAAGGCAAAGUGACAAAAGUGACUUAUGGUAAGGAAUUUCAUGAUAUCAUUGAAAAUCAAAGAAAGACACUAAAUAGUUAUACAAAUCUGAAGAAAAGAGAGCAGAUGAGGUUAUGCUAAUGAGGAGAUCAAGGCAGAAGCCACAGCCUACAACACUUGUCGGGAGGGAGAUUAGAACAGAGAAAUGAGAGCUGGCACAGGAACAAAGGAAAUCAGAAAACAAGUUAAUCCAAGGAUGUUUAUUCAACAAUGUUUCUGAACCCCCCACUAUAUUUAAAUACAAAGCAGUGUGAUUUACCCCAAAGUAUACUAAAAAUUUUAUCUAAGAAUUAGCUGAGCUAGGACUCCUCGGGUGUCUAUUGCUAUCUUCCCUAAAAGCAAAGUUCAGUGAAAGGUAGACUCUUUUUGCCUACUCCUUGCCCAUACAUCCUAAAACUGUAACCAGCCUGCUUAUCAACACACCAGACACGGACAGAGUUUGCAGUCAUUGCCCCCUUUCAAGGGAGAAAUUGUUUGGGAAUAAACCUAUAUAAAGGCAGACAGAAUAUUGGCCAAUAGCAAUCUAUUCUUUUAAACAUUAAUAUUAAUACAUUAUAAAAAUGAAUUGGUAAGAAGGACUACCAAACAUAAAACUGAAAAACCAAGAUCAGUGGACCAAAUGCUUAACUCUAGAGCAAAUAAAAAGUUAGCAAAUAUUGGGGAAUAUUAAAUGUUAAAGUUAGUAUUCCUAGAGAUAUUUGAGAGGAUAGAAAAUCCAUUAUAGAAAUCAAUAGGCAAUCAACAAUAACAACAGCACAAUCCUGGUAAUUAAAAGUAUUUCAUGGAAUAAAAAAUAGAAGUCCACAUUGCAGCUACAUUUUUAGUGGUGUGGGUUUGUACAUGUGUAAAAGCGAAGUUCUCUGAUUUCGAAGUGUGCCAAAGAAGAAUAUCCCAUAAGUAGAGAAAAGGGGCAAAGUAAAACUUAAAAUAAAACUCAGCAGGUAAAGAAUAAUCCAGAGAACCCAAUAUCAGUCUCAUCUGAAUUCCCAAAGGAACAAAAAAAUGGAAGAUGGGAAAUAAUAAGAGACAUAAUAACAGAAAAUUAAUCAAGAAUCUUCAGGCCAAAAAAAUGAAAAAAGAUUAAUUUGUAAGGCCAAUUCUUGUAAAAAUUUAGAAUUAAACAUGAUUUUGAAAGCUUCCAGAAAGAAGAAGGUAACUACAAAGGAAUGAGAAUCAGAUUGCCAUGAAAAUUGCUCCGGCAAAUAUGAUGCUAGAACAAAACCAAUGAUUGUUAACAGACUAAAAGAGAAUAUUUUGAAUCAAAUUUUAUUUUCUAACUGCCUACUAUCAAGCAUGACAUCAAACAAAACAUAUUUUAUGUAUAAAGAGAUUCAAAAUUUAUUUCCUUUUCAUGUUUUAAGUUACUUUGGAUUUUAAAAUAUACUUCUAUAAGCACAUAAAAUAUAAGAAACAUUUUAAAUUAGACUAUUCAGAAUGUAGUGUGAAUAAAAGGAAAGGGAAUUUGUUUCUUCAAAAAGUACUAAUAGCUGUGCAGUAUAACAAUUAUCUAAAUAGGAAACAAGUCAAAAUGUCACAUUUGUUUGAUAAACUGGUGGAAUUAGAGAACAAAGGGUCCACUUCAGCUUGACAUGGUCUUCAAGUAGAAGAAUUUAAUUUCCCUCUUUGUGUUAAACUAUAAUACUUGCUUUAAAAUGAAAGAUAUUUGUAUAAUUAUAGUAUGAUCAAAUUUAUCCGUUUAUGCCAAUUACCAAAGUAUAUAUGUAUUUUCCAGCUUUUUCAGUGCUGUGACUGAAAAAUCUGAGCAGAAUUAUUGUAAGGGAAGAAAAAAAGUUUAUUUGGGGGCUCAUGGUUUCAGAGGUCUCAAUCCACAGACAGCAGACUACAUUCCUUGGGGAUUAAGGUGAGACUGAAUAUCACAAAGGCAGAGUAUGGCAGAGGGAAGCAGCUCACAUGAUGAUCAGAAAACAGAAAAACAGUAUCUACUUACAAGAUACAAAUAUAGACCCCAAAGCCACGCCCCCAAUUCCCACCCUUUCUAGCCAUACUCCAUCUGCCUUGAGUUACCACUCAGUUAAUCCCAUCAUGGGAUUAAUUCACUGAUUGGGUUAAGGCUUUCACAGCCCAAUGUUUUCCCCUCUAAACCCUCUUGUGUUGUCUCACCCAUGAGCUUUGGGGGUCACCACACAUCCAAAAUAUAACAAUACACAAAAUACAAGUGUAACUAUAUUUGUAUUGAACAGGAUAUGUGUGUUAUGUAUUGAAAAUGCUAUUUUUUAUAUAAAAGUCAUGAGCUAGCUGGCAUAAAUUGAGAGGUAAAAGGGAGAGGAGAAGGGCAAGAAAUGUAGGAGAGCUGAUAUCCUUAUUUACAUUGAAGGGAAUCAGUGUGUUCUAGCCAAAGUUGAGGUAAUGGAAAAUAGAGUCAUAUAAGUGCUACUUAAAUGUAUAAGUCCAACCAAUAGAUUUAAUAGAAAUAAAACAAAACUGAUGGAAAUUUGAGAACAGAAUAAAAAAAUAAAAGUAUUAAGUAAAUAAAAGUCCUGAUUUUUCAAAUUAGGAAGUUAGAAAAUAUCAAAGCUGAUGAAAUGAAAAUGAGACACAGUGUAUUACUUAGAGAUAUGAUGGAAAAUAUCAGAAAAACUGAAAAAAAAAAUGAGAGGGUGAGUGAUUCUUCCCUAAAGAUUGGCCAGAGGGAUGAAGUGAAACCUGUUUGAAUUUAAUACAAUGUGCAUUUCUUAAUUUUAUAAAAAUGAUAAUUACAACAAAUUAAAAUAAGGUAUAAAGGAUUGUACCUUUGUAUAAUUAUAGUGUGAUCAAAUUGUAUCCAUUUAUCAUUUUGCAAAUAUGCCAAUCUGCAUAUUUGUACCUCCCUUGAGACAAAGAACUAAUAAACAGAUGCUUAUGUAGAAACUGACAUGUUGCUUUCACUGGGUAUGCAAAGUAUUGAUUGCUCCUAUGGAUCUCAAACAUCACAUAAUUAGAUCCAUUAUUUUCAUCUGUUUGAGGUAAAUUGGAGACAGAUUGCUAUUUAUUUUAUUAUUGUCUCUCUUUUAGGGACCAAUGUCACACAAGGUAAAAAAUGUAUCUUCUUUCUCAGAUGAAAACUGAACACUUCAUGAGGUGCUACCUGUGGCUGAGGUCUGACAAGUGCAUAGUUUUAAACAUAUCAAACACCUAUCAUCUGCUACCAAUUCUUUGUAGCCAGCUUCUGAAUAUGCGCAUUAUGUCAUAUGCAAAAGUAGAAAGGGGAUCGAACUCAGGGAUGCUUAACUGUUGGAAGCCAUCUGUGAAAUACAUGGGAACUUCUCUGGGCAUGGAAGCCAGGGAGAGAAUAGGUCUGGCAUUAGGAACAUCCUGUGCCUCUCCCGUGGUGACAGAACACCCAAUACAUGUGAACUUCCCCUCUGCUGUGCUAGAAAAGUCCAUCAUAGUAGCACCAGAGAUGGCCAUAACCAUUAGGAACUGAGCAGCCUACCUGCCUCCACCUUUAUCCUAUUUUGGAGAAGAAUAGUCUAUAGAAUUUCUUUGAUGUCUCCCUAUAUAAAUAAAUAAACUUUGUGUUAAGAAGCUCGAUCCAUAUGGUCAGUUUGUCUAUCCUGUCCCCACUUUGAAACUACCUUCUGUGUUCUGUGGUGUUUUCACUCUUCUAUUUUUCCUAGCUUUUAUUUCUCAGCCCAUUCUACCAAAAGGAACCCAUUCCCACUGCGCACAUGGGACUUGGGUGGUACUUAACCACUGAGCCAUAUGCCCAGCUCUUUUUUUACAUUUUGUUUUGAGACAGGGUCUCACUAAGUUUCUUAGGACCUUGCUAAAUUUCUGAGGCUGGCUUCAUGAUCCUCCUGCCUCUGUCUCUCAAGCUGCUGGCAUUACAGGUGUACACCAUCACACUGAGCUUAAUCAUGACUUUUAAAUAAUAUUAUUGUUUGGAUAUUAGGUGUCCUCUCCAAAGCUUAUGUAUUAGACAAUGCAAGAAUAUUUAGAGGUGAAAUGAUUAGAUAUGAUAGCUGAAACCUAAUCAUUGGAUUGAUUAAUCCAACGAUUAAUAGAUUAAUAUUUGGAAUGAAUUACUGGGCAGUAACUGUAGGCAGGUUGAGUGUGGUUGGAGAAGUAGGUCAGAGGGUGUGUGAUCUUGGGGAAUAUAUUUUGUCCCUGGAUCCUUGCUUUUACUCUCUGCUUGUUGGCCUUCAUGAACUGGGCAGUUUCCUCUACCAUACCCUUCUGCCAUCAUGCUCUGUCUCACCUUAAUCCCAGAGCGAUGGAAUUGACCCACCAUAUACUGAACCUCUAAAACCAUGGGGUCAAGUAAAGUUUUGCUCCUCUCAGUCAUUCUUAUCAGGCAUUUUGAUUGUACUGAUGGAAACAGACUAACAUAACCAUAAAAGACCCUGCUGUUACCAAAACUUUUUAAAAAUCUUCUCCUAUGUUCAGUGUUAUCCCCUUCAUACUCUCUCUACUCAUAGGAUCUAAAUUUAAUAAUAAAAAAGAAAGACAUCGUCAAGGAAAAUGAAGAGGUGAUGUUUCCUUACAGUACAAACUCUUAGGAUGUAAGUUCUCUUCCAUGAGAACUGAAAAAUUUUCAGAUGGGACCUGGAUGUUCUUCUACACGUACUGGAACCAAAGGACUUGCAUACUGAGCCUCACUAUGUGAGCAGAAUGUCAAGUUUAUAAAAAUCCUACAUGUCAAUAACAAGCAAGAUAUAAUUGGAACAUUCAAUAACAAUAGUUUAGUCACUGAACAGCUCUAGAGUUAUGAUAAGAGUAUAAAACAUGCUAUAGGAUUGAAUAUGGAGAAUACAAGGAAAAAUUAGUAAAGUAGAUGAGGUUUGAGUCUAGUCCUAUCUGCUCUCUAACUGUAAUUAAAGUAUGUCUCUACUGUUCCCAUUUUACUAAUCUGAGAACUGAUCACAUUGAUGUAGGACAGAUGAGGCUGGACACUGAAGGAAUUGCAGGAAGCUGGUUUAUUUUAGCUUCAGUGGUCCAGAGGGGACUAAUGCCUAAAAUAUCUCUGGGCCCUGAGGUUGGAGUUUCUUUGAACUUUAUACUCAGUGGGAGGGAGUUUAUAAUUUUUGUGGGAGUUUACAUCAAGUACUUUUUGAGCCAUUUUCUUUGAUUGCACUAAGGUUUUCAUAAGUUUUUACCAGUAAAACAGAUGGUAAUUUCUGUACAGCAUCAAGCUUAUGGCAAACUUAGUUUUGACAAGACAGAUAAACUUGGCCCUUAUAGACAAUAGGAAGCUUUAAACCACAUUGAGAUCUCUGCAGAACUCUUGGCUGAUAUCCCAUUGAUAAGAACAAUUACGGUGAGGGUCUUUGGAGAAGCUUAAUUAUGACCCUUUGGUGGAGAGAGGAAGGCACUACAACAUCUUUGGAGGAAGGACAUAGACUACUCUACCUUGGCUGUCAGGAUUAUACUUAUGAAAUUUAUUUCAUCUUUGGCAGGAUAACCAAAGUAUUGAUGCUCCAAAUCAGGAUUUUUUGUUUGUUUGUUUGUUUUGUCAAGAGUAAAUGUUCAUUACAUAAGACUUUAAAGACAGCAGGCAUAAGGUGAAACUGUUCUGGGAAAGCUUAGAAAUAAUGCUCAUCUUACUUUUGAGAGCUCCUUUGAGAAAUUGCCAAGUAAGACCUAAGGUCCUGGCAUUGCCACUCAAUGCUUUUCUUUUUAAUGGAAGCAUUUUAGACUAAGCAUCUUGAUCAUUUUUCUCUAACAGUUACCACAUGUUUCUCUGAAACAGAGAUUUAGUGGCUGAACAGUCAUGCCAACACAAACAAAAAACUCAUACUUGAAUCACUACUGCUUGGAAAUCCUGUACCUUACACAAAUGGUAUCCAAACGGAAUUUAGAGACUGAGACCAUUCAAAUCACUGAAGAUUCUUAAUUUCAGGCUGAAGACUGGAAGCAGUAUGGGUUAUGUCCAAAUACUGCUUAACAUUGCAUUUAAUAUGCAGUGAAGGGUCUGGGAAAACCACUCACCAAUAUUGAAAUUUUCUGCCUUGGUAUUUUCCAUCUACUCCAUAGAGGGAGGCAGCUGUAAUCUUGGCAGAUCCUAUUAUAUACUCAAGUUUACUCAAGAGUGCUGAAAUGAUAUACCUUUUCAUAUUAACAAUUGUUUUAUCUCUAAUGUUUUAUCUUAUACUUUGUCUAGUCUAGAAUCUGUAAAACUAAUGGUCACAAUUCAUUGAACUUAAUGAUAUAGAUAAUGACUAUAUUACUUGUUUUGUUAUUUGAAAUAUAAAAAUUAAUGAAAAUUUCCACAUGUGAGGAUGGAGUAAGGAGAUGAAUUAAACUGGUUCUUAUGAAUCUAUAUACGAAUUAUUCAUUUCCCCAAUAUAAUACCUCAAUCUGCUUUUAUCUUUUAUAUAACUUCUUAUAAUUUCAUCAGAAGUGAACAACCAAAUACAGUAUAAUGCUAUAUACAAAAUAACUGCCUGUCUUCACGGAGGAUUUAUCCAGUCCAUGUCACUAGACAGCUAGUGUCAGUCAGGGUAACUCUUUCCAUUUCCCUUGGCCUCAAUGAUCUCUAGUCAUCCUUCAUCAGUACUGUAAGGAGCAAUCCCUGACAAGAGUGUUAGGAACCCUAAUCCAUAUCACUGUGUUAGUUUGGCAGCUUUUCAUCACUGUAAUAAGAAUACCUUAGAAAAUCAACUUAAAGGAGGAAAUAUUUAUUUUGGCUCAUGAUUUCAGAGGUUCCAGUCCAUGGGCACUUGGACUCAUCAUUUUGGGUCUUUGGCAAAACAGAACAUCAAGGCAAGAAGCAUGUGAUAGAGUAAAGCUGCUUACCUUGGGCCAGCCAGGAAACAGUGAGGAAGAGGGACAAGAUAAACCCUUCCAGCGCAGGCUCCCAUGACAUACUUUUGCUUAGUAGGCCCAAUUUCCUACAGCUUUCAUCACCUACCAAUAGUCCAUUCAACUAGGAACUCAUCAAUGGAUUAAUUCACUAGUUAAUGAUGGUAAGAGCCCUUAUGAUCCAAUCACUUUCCCAAAGCCUCACUCUGAAUAACGAUGCAUUGAAGAUCAAGCCUUCAACACAGGAGUCUUUGCAGGACAAUCCAGAUCCAAAAUGCAACAGUCACCAUUUAACUACAGUCCAUAAAUACAUUAACUUAAUACAUUUACUUAACCAAUUAUUAGAUUUUUUUAUUACUAGGAAGAAUAUUCUUAGCUUGUAAUUGUGCUUGUAGCAAAGUAGACUUAUCAUUUGAUUUUUGUAGUCUUUGUGGUCACUGACAAUCCAGAAUAACAGAGGGUAUGAGCAUAUUCUAGAAUGAGGGAAUUCUGUUAGCCCAGUACUGGUUACAUGGUUUGUUUCAUUUGUGAAAAAUUCAUUGGUCUGCAUGUUUAGGAAAUAUGCAUUUUUCUAUCUGUAUAUUAUACUUUACCAAAGUUAAAAAGAUGAAUAUGGGAUUUGUUUUAGUCAGCUUUUUUCACUGUUGUGACUAAAUGACCCUACAGCACAACCUUAGAAGAGGAAAAGCUUAUUUUGGGGCUCACAGUUUCAGAGAUCUCAGUCCAGAGUCAACAGGCUCCAUCCCUUGGGGCUCAAGGUGAGGAAGGGCAUCAUGGUGGAAAAAUGUGGCAGAAAGAAGCAGCUCAUAUGAUGUUCAAGCAGCAGAUAGAGAAUCCACUUUCCACAUACAAAAUAUACACCCUAUAGCCACACCCCCAAUGAACCACUUCCUUCAGCCACUCCCCCCACCUGCCUCCAGUUACCAUUCCAGUAAUUCCAUCAAGGAUUAAUUAACUGAUUAUGUUAGCUUUUGGGGGAUACCACAUCUAAACCAUAACAGGAUUUAAUUAAAAUAAACUUUUCAAAAAGAAGUCAUUAUUGUGCUAAAAUAGACACUAAAGCAAAUUCUUUAGGCAGAAAGUAAAGAUCUUAAACACAAGAUGGAAAUGCCUCAAGAAAUGAAGAACAUUAGGCUGGGUAAGUAUCUGAGAAAAUGCAAGAAAUUUUACUCUACAAAGGUGAAAAAAUUACUAAACAAGGAAUAAUGAU